CCGGGCGAUUAGUUCUAAUCGCCCGCUCUAGCGGGCGAUUAGAACUAAUCGCCCGCUGUAUACUAAUCGCCCGCUACAGCGGGCGAUUAGUU